rnacentral:lncRNA from 1 species
AGCCUUUGUUCUGACCCACCAAGCAGGGCUUGCUGGAGGCCUGAAUGGCACAGACCAGGCCUUCCUGCAGAAUCAGAUGCUGUUUAGCUCUCUGAGCUCUUGACAGGAAGUUCCACCCCUGUCUCAGAUGAAGAGAAAGCUGCCAGUGAAACAACAUGUGUUGAAGAUGUGGUCCAUAUACACUACAGAGUAUUAUAAAUGCCUCCAUAAGAAAGGAUGAAUACCCAACUUUUGUAGCAACAUGGACAGGACUGGAAGAGAUUAUGCUGAGUGAAGUAAG